rnacentral:tRNA from 1 species
UGAAAUAUACUUUAAUGAAGAAGAUAUAAUUUGCAAUUAUAUAGUGAUAGUAUUAUCUAUUUCUA